rnacentral:pre_miRNA from 1 species
UCUUCAUUUUGCCCGCUCUCUCACCGGUCAGACCAGCGAGAGAGUAUGUGAAAUGAAGAGA